rnacentral:misc_RNA from 1 species
AGAGAGAGGUUUGUUACCUUAAUAACUGAACUGAAAUAUCAAAUCUUUGAAAAUACUAACCGAAAUUAAAUUGAUUUACCAAAAAACAAACUGAAAAAAUGAAUAAAAUCAAGUGGCGUGGCAACUGAUGUGGCAAAGAGCAAGUAGAGGAUCAGGUGCUAACAGAAGCAAACAAGCAUGAUCUCAAUUGAGUUUAUGGGCCAAUUGAACCUGACUUGCGCAUGUUGGCGUGUGGAUGGUCGGGCACCCAAUCCAUCAACGGCAACACACUAAUUGGUGUGUGGCGAACCACUAGUGAGGUGUAGAAGUUGGUUUGUUGGGCUGAAUGUGAUUCAGGUUGAAACCCGACUUGGACAAAACUGGGUUUUUGGGCAGAUUCUGGCUGUCGAAUUUACGUCAGAACUAGGAAGAGCUGCCUUCUGGUGCUGGGCUAUGGCAUGGUGGUGGCGGCACAGCUGUUCAGUGAAAAUGAAGUGGUGGUUUGUGAGGCAUAGUGGUGAGGGUUAGGGAAAAAGCAAAAGUUUAGGCUUUCUCUGAUUAAUUUCAAGGUAUAGUUGAGGGUCAGAAAAAUGAAGGGCAGGAAAAGACGAGAGGGCACAGUGGUGAAGGAAGAACAAUCCGCAAAGAAGAGAACACAAAAGUUCAGAUUGCUUUCUCUAAUUCACAGGUUGAAUGCUUUAAG